rnacentral:rRNA from 1 species
GACGAACGCUGGCGGCGUGCCUAAUACAUGCAAGUAGAACGCUGAAGAGAGGAGCUUGCUCUUCUUGGAUGAGUUGCGAACGGGUGAGUAACGCGUAGGUAACCUGCCUUGUAGCGGGGGAUAACUAUUGGAAACGAUAGCUAAUACCGCAUAACAAUGGAUGACACAUGUCAUUUAUUUGAAAGGGGCAAUCGCUCCACUACAAGAUGGACCUGCGUUGUAUUAGCUAGUAGGUGAGGUAACGGCUCACCUAGGCGACGAUACAUAGCCGACCUGAGAGGGUGAUCGGCCACACUGGGACUGAGACACGGCCCAGACUCCUACGGGAGGCAGCAGUAGGGAAUCUUCGGCAAUGGGGGCAACCCUGACCGAGCAACGCCGCGUGAGUGAAGAAGGUUUUCGGAUCGUAAAGCUCUGUUGUAAGUCAAGAACGAGUGUGAGAGUGGAAAGUUCACACUGUGACGGUAGCUUACCAGAAAGGGACGGCUAACUACGUG